rnacentral:rRNA from 1 species
AGAGUUUGAUCCUGGCUCAGAAUCAACGCUGGCGGCGUGCCUCAGACAUGCAAGUCGAACGCGAAAGUCCCCUUCGGGGGACAAGUAGAGUGGCGCACGGGUGAGUAACACGUAGGUAAUCUACCUUCGGAUGGGGAAUAACAACCGGAAACGGUUGCUAAUACCGCAUAAUGCAGCGGCACCUAAUGGUGACAGUUGUUAAAGCGGGGGAUCGAAAGACCUCGCGUCUGAAGAGGAGCCUGCGGCGGAUUAGCUAGUUGGUAGGGUAACGGCCUACCAAGGCGACGAUCCGUAGCCGGCCUGAGAGGGCGGUCGGCCACACUGACACUGACAUACGGGUCAGACUCCUACGGGAGGCAGCAGUCGGGAAUCUUGGGCAAUGGGCGAAAGCCUGACCCAGCAACGCCGCGUGAAGGAUGAAAUCCUUCGGGAUGUAAACUUCGCAAGAACGGGAAGAAUGAGUCUGCGUGAAUAUCGCAGGCGAUGACGGUACCGUUUGAAGCCCCU